rnacentral:rRNA from 1 species
AUUGAACGCUGGCGGCAGGCCUAACACAUGCAAGUCGAGCGGAUGAGAAGAGCUUGCUCUUCGAUUCAGCGGCGGACGGGUGAGUAAUGCCUAGGAAUCUGCCUGGUAGUGGGGGACAACGUUUCGAAAGGAACGCUAAUACCGCAUACGUCCUACGGGAGAAAGCAGGGGACCUUCGGGCCUUGCGCUAUCAGAUGAGCCUAGGUCGGAUUAGCUAGUUGGUGAGGUAAAGGCUCACCAAGGCGACGAUCCGUAACUGGUCUGAGAGGAUGAUCAGUCACACUGGAACUGAGACACGGUCCAGACUCCUACGGGAGGCAGCAGUGGGGAAUAUUGGACAAUGGGCGAAAGCCUGAUCCAGCCAUGCCGCGUGUGUGAAGAAGGUCUUCGGAUUGUAAAGCACUUUAAGUUGGGAGGAAGGGCAGUAAGUUAAUACCUUGCUGUUUUGACGUUACCGACAGAAUAAGCACCGGCUAACUCUGUG